UAAUCGCAGAUCAGAAUGCUGCGGUGAAUACGUUCCCGGGUCUUGUACACACCGCCCGUCACACCAUGGGAGUCGGAAAUGCCCGAAGCCGGUGACUCAACCUUUAAGGAGAGAGCCGUCGAAGGCAGGUCUGAUAACUGGGGUGAAGUCGUAACAAGGUAGC
rnacentral:rRNA from 1 species